rnacentral:tRNA from 17 species
AGAGGUGUAGUUCAAUGGUAGAACAACGGGCUUCAACCCCGUAUGUUGCGGGUUCGACUCCUGUCACCUCUGCCA